rnacentral:rRNA from 1 species
AUUGAACGCUGGCGGCAGGCCUAACACAUGCAAGUCGAGCGGAUGAAGGUAGCUUGCUCCUGGAUUCAGCGGCGGACGGGUGAGUAAUGCCUAGGAAUCUGCCUGGUAGUGUGGGAUAACGUCCGGAAACGGGCGCUAAUACCGCAUACGUCCUGAGGGAGAAAGUGGGGGAUCUUCGGACCUCACGCUAUCAGAUGAUCCUAGGUCGGAUUAGCUAGUUGGUGGGGUAAAGGCCUACCAAGGCGACGAUCCGUAACUGGUCUGAGAGGAUGAUCAGUCACACUGGAACUGAAACACGGUCCGGCCCCCAACGGGAGGCAGGGGUGGGGAAUAUUGGAAAAUGGGCGAAAGCCUAACCUAGCACUGCCACGUGGGGGAAGAAGGUCUUCGGAUGGUAAAGCAACUUAAUUUGGAAGGAAGGGAAGUAAGUUAAUACCUUGCUGUUUGAAGGUGACAAAAAGAGUAGGAACCGCUAAAUUCGGU